rnacentral:lncRNA from 1 species
AGUUUCAAUAUGACUGCCUGGAUGAAGAAGGAUUUGAGACUAAGUUUAUUCCUCCAAAGCAAACCAACUGAGAAUGCAGUUUUCAAUGCAACCCGUCAUCAAAGGGAAGGAGUUGAUGAAAAGAAAUGAAAUUGAAACGUGCACCUGGGGAGAAGUGAUUGAAGGUUCUUCAUUUAAGGGAUUGGCUCCUUUUCUCUUAUUAUACUGUGAAAUCUGAAAACAUCUCUUGAAAUUCUGGUCACUGUCUUCUGGACAUCCCAAGGCGCACCAUCUCCACAGUUCCUCCCUCCUAGAUUAUCCCAUCCAGUGUGGCAUCCAGUGUGGCAAAUGGAAAAAGACUCUUCCCAUGGGCAACUGAAAAGGACACCAAAGAAAGCAGAUACAGCCCAUGAUCAAAGAAGCACAUAACUUCAGUUUGGAACAUG